UAAAGCACCUGUACUAAAGGCACCAGAUUCCAUCUGAUCUUGGAAGCUAAGUAGGGUCAGUCUGACUAAUACCUAGAUGGAAGACUGCCAAUGAAUACCGGGUGCUGUAU
rnacentral:rRNA from 1 species